GCCAGCGUGGUGUAAUGAUUUGAAUGUUGGAUUAUGGCUCAGGAGAUCAGGGUUCGAUUCCCUGCUCAGGUA